UAGCCUAGCUUCAGAAACUCAGAAACCAUCCUGAAAGACAGCAUUGCAUCAGCUUCACAAAAAGACAUGUUCCUCUUGGCCUUCUCCUGAGCUUUUAGCAUCACCAGAACCCCAAGAAAAUGACGCGAUGUAGCUGUAAACCUUCUAGUCGCAGAAGACAUAAACAACGACGGGGUUCUAGAGUUCAGAGAAGAGGAAGGAGGGGAAAGGGCAGGAAAGCAUCCGUAGCUCACACUGUGUACUACUACAGGAAGGUGAAAUAGCCCUUGUUGAACCUCCUAAUGUGCAGCAGUUUUGGGAAAUGUCAACUAACAACAAAAUGAUGUCUCCCACGUGAACAAAUCGCUGCUCCAGCAAAGCCAGGCAAAAUGAUGUUCCAAGAUGCUGAAGGAGGAUCACAGAGGAACAGUCUUUCAUUAAAACCUGAAGCCGCAAAA